rnacentral:rRNA from 1 species
UUAGUAACGGCGAGUGAAGCGGUAAAAGCUCAAAUUUGAAAUCUGGUACUUUCAGUGCCCGAGUUGUAAUUUGUAGAAUUUGUCUUUGAUUAGGUCCUUGUCUAUGUUCCUUGGAACAGGACGUCAUAGAGGGUGAGAAUCCCGUUUGGCGAGGAUACCUUUUCUCUGUAAGACUUUUUCGAAGAGUCGAGUUGUUUGGGAAUGCAGCUCAAAGUGGGUGGUAAAUUCCAUCUAAAGCUAAAUAUUGGCGAGAGACCGAUAGCGAACAAGUACAGUGAUGGAAAGAUGAAAAGAACUUUGAAAAGAGAGUGAAAAAGUACGUGAAAUUGUUGAAAGGGAAGGGCAUUUGAUCAGACAUGGUGUUUUUUGCAUGCACUCGCCUCUCGUGGGCUUGGGCCUCUCAAAAAUUUCACUGGGCCAACAUCAAUUCUGGCAGCAGGAUAAAUCAUUAAGAAUGUAGCUACUUCGGUAGUGUUAUAGCUUUUUGGAAUACUGUUAGCCGGGAUUGAGGACUGCGCUUCGGCAAGGAUGUUGGCAUAAUGGUUAAAUGCCGCCCGUCUA